GAAUCUUCCACAAUGGACGGAAGUCUGAUGGAGCAACGCCGCGUGAGCGAAGAAGGCUUUCGGAUCGUAAAGCCCUGUUGUAAGGGAAGAACACGUACGGGAGUCACUGCCCGUACCUUGACGGUACCUUAUCAGAAAGCCACGGCUAACUACGUGCAAGCAGCCGCGGUAAUACGUAGGUGGCAAGCGUUGUCCGGAAUUAUUGGGCGUAAAGCGCGCGCAGGCGGUACUUUAAGUCGGAUGUGAAAGCCCACGGCUCAACCGUGGAGGGUCAUUGGAAACUGGAGGACUGGAGUACAGAAGAGGAAAGCGGAAUUCCACGUGUAGCGGUGAAAUGCGUAGAGAUGUGGAGGAACCCCAGUGGCGAAGGCGGCUUUCUGGUCUGUAACUGACGCUGAGGCGCGAAAGCGUGGGGAGCAAACG
rnacentral:rRNA from 1 species